ACGGGAGGCAGCAGUGGGGGAUAUUGCACAAUGGGGGAAACCCUGAUGCAGCGACGCCGCGUGAGUGAAGAAGUAUUUCGGUACGUAAAGCUCUAUCAGCAAGGAAGAAAAUGACGGUACUUGACUAAGAAGCCCCGGCUAACUACGUGCCAGCAGCCGCGGUAAUACGUAGGGGGCAAGCGUUAUCCGGAUUUACUGGGUGUAAAGGGAGCGUAGACGGUAAGGCAAGUCUGAAGUGAAAUGCAUGGGCUCAACCCAUGAACUGCUUUGGAAACUGUCAAACUAGAGUGCAGGAGAGGUAAGUGGAAUUCCUAGUGUAGCGGUGAAAUGCGUAGAUAUUAGGAGGAACACCAGUGGCGAAGGCGGCUUACUGGACUGUAACUGACGUUGAGGCUCGAAAGCGUGGGGAGCAAACAGGAUUAGAUACCCUGGUA
rnacentral:rRNA from 1 species